UGGCGUGUAGCUAGUUGGUAAAGCAGUCGGCUGUUAACCGACCGACCGCAGGUUCGAUCCCUGCUGCGCCAG
rnacentral:tRNA from 1 species